UACGAAGGGGACUAGCGUUGUUCGGAUUUACUGGGCGUUAAGCGCGCGUAGGCGGAUCGCUAAGUCAGGGGUGAAAUCCCAGGGCUCAACCCUGGAACUGCCUUUGAUACUGACGGUCUGGAGAUCGGGAGAGGUUGGUGGAAUUCCGAGUGUAGAGGUGAAAUUCGUAGAUAUUCGGAGGAACACCGGUGGCGAAGGCGGCAUCCUGGACCGGCAUUGACGCUGAGGCGCGAAAGCCAGGGGAGCAAACGGG
rnacentral:rRNA from 1 species